CCUACGGGUGGCAGCAGUGAGGAAUAUUGGUCAAUGGGCGGGAGCCUGAACCAGCCAAGUCGCGUGAGGGAAGACGGUCCUAUGGAUUGUAAACCUCUUUAGGCGGGGAGCAAUGCCGGGCACGUGUGCCCGGAGGGAGAGUACCCGCAGAAUAAGCAUCGGCUAACUCCGUGCCAGCAGCCGCGGUAAUACGGAGGAUGCGAGCGUUAUUGGGCUUUAUUGGGUUGAAAGGGUGCGCUGGCGGAAUGUCAAGUCAGCGGUAAAAUUUCGGGGCUCAACCCCGUCGUGCCGUGGAAACGGGCGUUCUUGAGUGAGCGAGAAGUAUGCGGAAUGCGUGGUGUAGCGGUGAAAUGCAUAGAUAGCACGCAGAACUCCGAUUGCGAAGGCAGCAUACCGGCGCUCAACUGACGCUCAUGCACGAAAGCGUGGGUAUCGAACAGGAUUAGAUACCCGGGUAGUC
rnacentral:rRNA from 1 species